rnacentral:rRNA from 1 species
CUGCCCGAUGGAGGGGGAUAACUACUGGAAACGGUAGCUAAUACCGCAUAACGUCUUCGGACCAAAGAGGGGGACCUUCGGGCCUCUUGCCAUCGGAUGUGCCCAGAUGGGAUUAGCUAGUAGGUGGGGUAAUGGCUCACCUAGGCGACGAUCCCUAGCUGGUCUGAGAGGAUGACCAGCCACACUGGAACUGAGACACGGUCCAGACUCCUACGGGAGGCAGCAGUGGGGAAUAUUGCACAAUGGGCGCAAGCCUGAUGCAGCCAUGCCGCGUGUAUGAAGAAGGCCUUCGGGUUGUAAAGUACUUUCAGCGAGGAGGAAGGCGUUGCGGUUAAUAACCGCAGCGAUUGACGUUACUCGCAGAAGAAGCACCGGCUAACUCCGUGCCAGCAGCCGCGGUAAUACGGAGGGUGCAAGCGUUAAUCGGAAUUACUGGGCGUAAAGCGCACGCAGGCGGUCUGUCAAGUCGGAUGUGAAAUCCCCGGGCUCAACCUGGGAACUGCAUUCGAAACUGGCAGGCUAGAGUCUUGUAGAGGGGGGUAGAAUUCCAGGUGUAGCGGUGAAAUGCGUAGAGAUCUGGAGGAAUACCGGUGGCGAAGGCGGCCCCCUGGACAAAGACUGACG